GGCAUUGCUCCCUCCAAAUCACCGCUCUUCUAAUUUUAUCCUGGAGUGUGCAUCCCAGAAGACAUAAGCUGACACAAUUGGGAACUGAAGUUGCUUGAAAAAGCUGGUGGUAAGAUUAGGGAUCAGCAUCAUAUAUCACUAUUUCUCAAAGAUUAUCUGGUCUCUUGAUGGCAAAUCUACAAUAUUGAAACCUUUGAAAGAGAAAUUGUGUUUUGUGAGUUACAUGACUACCGUUUGCAUCCAAGGUCUCCUCUGUAGUCAAGAGAAGAAUGCAGAAACUACAUGUCCAAGAAUCUCUUUCCAGACUCUAGACAGCUUAUACGUAUUUGGACAAGGCAACGUGAUGAAGAAAUAAUAUAAUUGUAGGAUCACCUCUGUCCAGUAGCUGUUAUCCAACAUCUGCAUACUUAGAUUUCUGGAGAGGACAGUCAAUAUUUUUUCCCUGAGUUUGAAAAAAUCAUUUUCAAAUGUUCACUGGCAAAUCUGGAUAACAGCAGGCUCCUCCCACGCAUGCAGACCCUGACCACAAAGCAGACAAAUUCUCCUGUUUCCCAGGCUGGAGUGCAGUGGUGCGAUCUGGGCUCACUUCAUCCUAUGCCUCCCAGGCUCAAGCGAUCCUCCUGCCUCCACCACUGGAAUAACUGGGACUACAAACUCACACCACCAUGCCUAGUUAAUUUCUGUAUCUUUUUGAGUAGAGAUAGUGUUUUGCCAUGUUAUCCAGGGUGGCCUCCAACCCGGGAGCUCAAGCCAUCCACCCUCUUCGGCCUCCCAAAGUGCUGGGAUUGCAAGCAUGAGCCACUGCACUGGCUAAUUCUUUAUUUUAAUGUUCAUGUUUUCAUUAGGCAAUUUCAGUACACCCAAGUGUAUUUUGAGAAGUGAUUCACUUUUAAUCUCUCCUAGUUUCUUUCAAUUAUGGCCGCAAAAUUCAUUAACGUUGUAUGACUGAUUUAAGGAAAUGCUGUUGCAUUAGUGAGUAUCUACUUUUAUAAACCUAAAAUAGUUUCUUACCUCAUGUCUCCUUACAAUCAUCUGAUUAUAGACAGUAUCAAUUCUAUGAACUUGCAUACUUCCAAAAAGAAAA
rnacentral:lncRNA from 1 species